UUUGACCAUUCCUGAAUUCAGUGAGUGCAGUUAAGCUCUGGAAUUCAUUGAAGUUUGCUCUGUUAUUUUGAAAUUAAAUUCUUGUACUUUAAUUUACCAUCCAUGUUGAUUUGUCGUGAUCCCACACUGCAUUAUAAGGUGCAUAUGGCAUUUAUUGGGAACCUUCCCCAUGGCCAUAGAGUCGUGUGAUUUGAUUAUUAUGGAUUAGGCAUAUGAAUAUCUUUCAUAUAUAAAUGUUACUCUAUUUGAUCUAAGAUGGUUACUACCCAUGACUCUUUUUAGCUGUUAAGUAUUGUGGCUCUAUACAUUGCCUUUGUUUCGAGUGUAAUCAUUCGACUCUUAGGUUUCUGGUAGCUUGUUUACUCUUUUAUGUUCACUAUUGGCAUUAUGUCUUCUGUUAUAACGUCUAUCCAAUGCCUAUAUUUAUAAUUGAUUUUGAUGUAUCAUGAGGAAGCAGUGGUGGAUACACUUUCUGGAAUUCUCUUUCGUUUCUUCAGUUGCAUUUAUUAUCCUUCUCUAAUACCUUCUAACUGCUGAUUGAGUUUGAGCUUGCUAAUUUAGAAUUUAGGAGUUUCAACUACAUGCUGCACUUUGGUCAUUUCUCCUCCUUCAUUGUUGGAUUUAGUUGCACUAAGAUUUCGCAUGUGAACACUUAGCUGGUAUGGAAUGAGGAAGCAUCAUGUAUCACCAACACUGAUAAUGAGAAUCUCCUUUCCAAUUAUUUGAAGGCAAAAAUUAUAGUCGAUGAAGAUAGUGACAGCAGUGAUGGUGAGCUUGCGAUUAAAUGUGCAUCACUUUUCAAGGAAUACUGGAAGCAACCCAAGAUCACAAAGGAAGCAUUUAUGGAUGAUGGCUUCUUCAGAACAGGAGACACAGUUACUAUGGAUGAAGAUGGAUAUUAUAUAAUUUCAGGA